rnacentral:miRNA from 12 species
UGGAACAAUUUCUUGGGGCCCAAUUCUGCUCUUAUUGAAAUCAGUGAGAGUUCUGCCAUUGACUUAAAUGGGAGCAGAAUUGGGAGCUAAGAAGACAUUUCCA